rnacentral:lncRNA from 1 species
ACAGGAUGGACCUAAUUUUUGUCAUAGUUCUGGAAAUUCUUAGUUUUUUAGGGCUUGUUGUUGUUUUCGGAUGAACGUGGCGAUCCCCUGGAACCUCUCAGGGAUUUACUGUGAGUUCUUGGAGGACUUGAGGAGGCUGUAUGUAGUGUUUCCUCUGCUGGAGCUUUCUCUUGUGUGCUAAAAUGUAAUUACAUGCCAGGUAAUGUAGCUGGAGAGACUGGACUGACGGAUGGACCGCAUCAGUUCUCGUUCUGACCCCUCUUCUGACUCCUCUUCGCUGAGCACCUGUGUGAGACAUCAGUCAACAUCUAAGUAUACCUACUCCAGUGACAUAUUCAGCAAGUGGAGACAUGGCCACUAAGGAUGGUGACAGGAUCCAGGAGACCCACUAAGACAGACCUGGGUUCCAUUAUGAAGCAGACCACCGUGGUGGUGGAAACAUACGGAAGAGGCUAGUCAUCUAACGGGAACAGAAGCCAGAGAGUAACAGGAAGGAGCCAG